GACGAACGCUGGCGGCGUGCUUAACACAUGCAAGUCUACGAGAAUAAGGUAGCAAUAUCUUUAGUAAAGUGGCGCACGGGUGAGUAACACGUAAGUAACCUACCUUUAGAUUUGGAAUAACCCCGAGAAAUCGGGGCUAAUACCGAAUGAUGCAGCGGCACCACAUGGUGAUGUUGUUAAAGUCUAUAUGACGUCUAAAGAUGGGCUUGCGUCUGAUUAGCUAGUUGGUGAGGUAACGGCCCACCAAGGCUACGAUCAGUAGCUGGUCUGAGAGGAUGGUCAGCCACACUGGAACUGAGACGCGGUCCAGACUCCUACGGGAGGCAGCAGUGAGGAAUAUUGGGCAAUGCCCGAAAGGGUGACCCAGCAACGCCGCGUGGAGGAUGAAUGCCGUAAGGUUGUAAACUCCUGUUAGAGGGGAAGAAAAAUCUCGAUCAAAUCGAGAACUGACUGUACCCUCAGAGAAAGCCCCGGCUAACUACGUGCCAGCAGCCGCCGUAAUAC
rnacentral:rRNA from 1 species